GUCAUUUAGAUGAGUUUCUUGCUU
rnacentral:sRNA from 1 species